UGGGGAAUAUUGGACAAUGGGCGAAAGCCUGAUCCAGCCAUGCCGCGUGUGUGAAGAAGGUCUUCGGAUUGUAAAAACUCUUUUGGCGGGGACGAUAAUGACGGUACCCGCAGAAUAAGCCCCGGCUAACUUCGUGCCAGCAGCCGCGGUAAUACGAAGGGGGCUAGCGUUGUUCGGAAUCACUGGGCGUAAAGCGCACGUAGGCGGAUGUGCCAGUCAGGGGUGAAAUCCCGGAGCUCAACUCCGGAACUGCCUCUGAUACAGCACGUCUUGAGUUCGAGAGAGGUGGGUGGAAUUCCUAGUGUAGAGGUGAAAUUCGUAGAUAUUAGGAAGAACACCGGUGGCGAAGGCGGCCCACUGGCUCGAUACUGACGCUGAGGUGCGAAAGCGUGGGGAGCAAACAGGAUUAGAUACCCCUGUAGUCCCUGAGCGGGCUGGCAAGGCGCAU
rnacentral:rRNA from 1 species